UCCUGUUGAAAAAGAGAGCAAGUCAUAAAAUAUCUAGCAAGCAUCUCCCUACACAAAGCAUGUCACAGUGAACAACAGGCCUGGGGGACAAUGACUAAUCACAGAAAUAACGUCAUGAGUACCAUGUCAUGAGGAAAGGCGUCAGGGAACAUGAAAGGAGACACCGAUGGUGUCAAGGCAUCCUCCCACAUCUAAACUGACGCAGGCCAAGAGCUAAAGAACGUGCUGGAGGUCAGGCGCAGUGCUCAGCCCUGUAAUCCCAGCACCGAAAGGCUGAGGCGGGCAAAUCACAAGGUCAGGAGUUCCACACCAGCCAAUAUGGUGAAACCCCUUCUCCACUAAAAAUUCAAAAAAUUAGCGAGGUGUGGUGGUGCACGUCUGUAAUUGCAGCUACUUGCGGGGCUGAGAAUGUCUUGAACCUGGGGCAGACGUUGCAGUGAGCUGAGAUCACACCACUGCACUCCAGCCUGGGUAACAGAGUGAGAGAGUUUGUCUCAAAAAAAAGGAAGAAAAAGUGCUGAAAUCCACUAGGUGGAAGAGAAGGGAUAUAUGCCUUGCCCUGCGCUGUGAAGGACCCACAGUGCUGUGAGAGAAGGCAGCAGCGAGAGCAAGUGACAGGCAGAAGGAAGGAGGGUCAGGGUGGGGCCUCCUCGCAGGGCAUUGCAGGUGCUAUCUACCUUUGCGCUACCUUCUCCUACAAAGGGGCCAGGAGAAGGGGAGACCUGGUAGCAGGGCUCUGUGGCAUGAAUCAACUGAGGGGCAUGAAUCAUCAUCAAAUGAAAUGGUAGGAAAGGGAAAGGAUUCAGGGCUAACUGGGAAGUGAAGUUGCCAAGCUUGGUGGACGGGAUGAGGUGGUGAGGGACAGUCAAGAUGAGCUUCCAUUCGUGGAGAGGUGGGACUCCAGUGGGGAGCAGCAUGAAGGAAGUUUCACGAACUGUGAAACUGUGUUUGGAAACAAGCAGUCUGAGAGGCGGCUCUCUGAAUGUGAACGGCACUGAAACACAGGUCAUGUGCUGCAAUGGGGUGGCAAGAAGUGAGGAGAAGGGCUCCAGGGAGAGAGGAAAGGAAACGGAGGUGCAAACCCAGGAACCCCAGGGCAGCAUGUGUCCCAACCUCAAGAACUGUCCGGUAGCUGGGGAUACCAGGAACCCAAGCGCAGCCCCUUCUGUGCCCUAAAGGGUGAAGGGCUCUUUUGUCUUCUCAGUUCCCACCUUCAAGGCACCUUCAAAGUGCAUGGGGUACUAACUUGGGCACGUAGAUACAUAUUCAGAACAUACUUAAGAGGUUUAACUUCAAUAAACUCAGCCUAAGUUAGCCCAAAUUAGGGAUUUCACAGCACUGACUCUAGAAUGAAGAAAAAUCUGUCUUCUGUCUAGCUACCAGUGAAGGCCAACCCCUGCUCAUUUUCUCUUGGACACAGCGUGGACUCACUCCAUUCAAUGACAGUACGGGGACACACACAAAAAUCCUAGCAGAAUCUUAAGAAAAGCUGGAAUGUCUAUAGUCAUGCCCACCUAUAAGAUACCCGGAUCCCCUUGGUUUUUAGCUCAGCAAGUGCUCAGACUGUCAAAAUAGCAGAAAAUCAGCAGACUCCAAAGCAAAGGUGUGGCUCCCAAGGCCGAAAGCUGAGGGUUAAAAACUACAACGAGGUGGCUCACACCUGAAAUUCUGGCACUUUGGGAGGCCGAGGCAAGCAGAUCACGAGGUCAAGAGAUCGAGACUAUCCUGGCCAACAUGGUGAACCCCCAUCUUUACUAAAAAUACAAAUAGUUGGGCGUGGUGGUGGGUGCCUGUAGUCCCAGCUACUCGGGAGGCCAAGGCAGGAGAAAUCGCUUAAAGUCGGGAGGCGAAGGCUGCAGAGAGCUAAGAUCCUGUCACUGCACUACAGUCUGGGAGACAGAGUGAGACUCCGUCUCAAAAAAAAAUGCUUUAAGAGGUGCCUGAAAUACUUGGACACCGGGACAUCAGAAUAAAGAAAAAACGUUCAGGACUGUUAGAGAGCUAAAAUGUCUAUUAAUAGCAAGCAGGACAGAGAUUAACUGCAUAAACCGGACUAGCAGGAGACUGAAGUAAUCUUUCUAACUUUUUGCUUAAAAUGCUGCUAAUCCUUUGUUUUGCUUUUCAAAGUUAAAAGAAGCUUUUAAGUUAUUAACAGCUUUUAACAAUUAAAUAAAGUAUACUCCUCUGUAUGAACAAAACUUGGAACAUACUUGUUUCUCUCUACCUAAUUCAGAAUUUGGAAACAAUUUGUGUUUUUUGAGACCGAGUCUCACUCUGUCACCCAGGCUGGAAGGCAUGAUCUUGGCUCACUGCAAUGUCUGCCUCCUGGGUUCAAGUGAUUCUCCUGCCUCAGCCUCCCAAGUAGCUGGAACUAUAGGAAUGUGCCACUACGCCUGGCUAAUUUUUGUAUUUUUAGCAGAGAUGGAGUUUUACCAUGUUGAUCAGGUUGGUCUCAAACUCCUGACCUCAGGUGAUCCACCCUGCCCGGCCUGUUUGUAUGUAUUCUUAAUUUAUGGUAAUACAGUUAUUUGCUUAAGUACAACAUAAACUUGUUUUCUUUUGUAACAGAACAGAAAUAAAAUACUGGUUAUCUGCGGUGAGCAGAGAUUGUGCCAUUGCACUCCAGCCUGGGCAACAAGAGUGAAACUCCGUCUCAAAAAAAAAAAAAAAACCCAAGUGGUUAUUUUACCAAGGCGUUAACUGGAAUGGUAUGCUCUGCUUUAAGGAAUCCGACUGAACCAAAAAAGCCUUUAAAAACUGGCCUCAUACUCUGUGUGCAGUUCCUGUACAGGGCUUCUAACCUGUGUAAAAACAUGUCACUUUCUAACAGACCAGAAACCCCAUUAUCUUGCAACCUCAAGAGAAGAGGAAUUCACCCAACUCCCAAGUGUUCCAUGGUACAUAUCCAUGGCUGGGCUUGAGUGUAAGAAGGGAUUCCCUCAGACUCCUCCUGUGGAAGGAAGCUCCAUCGAAGCCCAUUUAAAAGGCCUACAUAAAAAAUUGUUAUUCUCGCUACACGGUAUAAAAUAAUUAGGCCAGGUACAAUAAAGCAAACCAGUCCUACCACAAUUUGUCUUUUAAUAAAAAUGGGAAGCUAAAAAAAAAAGUUUCAAAAACAGUAGUAUACCAAAAUAAUGUUGCCAAUUCUUUCCUUUCUCUAUUCCUUUUUCCUAAUUGGAAAUCACUGAAACCCAAAGCUGUGCUUUCCCAAAGCCCUAUAAACUGAAGACUAAACUUCUGAAGAAAACAGCAGAACCGACUUAUGUGUGCUGCUUGCUGCAGAUGGUUAGGUUUCAGCAGUGCUGCCCCUAAGCCCGCAAAACAGAAAAGUGCUCCUGGGAACAAAUGGACCUCUUCCACUCCAGCACCGUCUUCAGUGCCAGUUAACAAGCCUCUCUCAGCAGGAAGCAGCCAGGAAAGAUGGCAAUGCCCCAUCUCCCUAUGAUUCUCGUGAUAAAUAAAUACACAGGCAUGAUAAAACAUCACGUGCAAACUGACAGUGGGGACUGUGGCGGGUCUCCCUAACACAGGCCUCCGUAACAACUGUUUUAGUACUGACUGAGCAGUUAAGUUAAAUUAAAAGCCAGUGCCGUUAUACAAAGGCUCGGAUGUGAGAAAGUCCACCACAAGUUUUGCCUAGGCCUUUCCUGGGUCUUAAAACAACAAAAUAACGAAGAUAUUCUUAAUGUGACUCCUUUAAACAAGUUUCACCGGGGCCUAAAAAACUCCCCAACCCUCUGUGAUCUGGCAGAAGUCACAGGAAGGCUUCUUACUCCGGCACCUAACCCCAUGUAAAUUAAGUAAAUUUACUGAGGCUCCAGAGGAAGGUCUCCAUGACUCAAACCUUAGUUACAGAUUAAAAGUUAAUCACUUACAUCUUUAGAUAAAUGCACACUUACGCACAGACAUAUAACUUAAAAAGUAUAAAAGCUGAAAAACUCUGUAACUUUAAGUUGCUCUGGCAGUAAUUUCCAGGCCUUCUCCGUGCAACUGGCUGCAGAAAUAAAAACUUUCCUCCUCCUCA